rnacentral:tRNA from 1 species
CGGGGCGUAGUAUAAUGGCAGUACGCAGGGCUGGGGGUCCUGUAGCGGAGGUUCAAUUCCUCUCGCCCCGA